rnacentral:misc_RNA from 1 species
GAUGAAGAACGUAGCGAAAUGCGAUAAGUAAUGUGAAUUGCAGAUUUCAGUGAAUCAUCGAAUCUUUGAACGCACCUUGCGCCCUUUGGCCAUUCCGAAGGGCAUGCCUGUUUGAGUAUCAUGAACACCUCAACUCUUCAUGGUUUUCCAUGAUGAGCUUGGACUUUGGGGGUCUUGCUGGCCUGUGGGUCGGCUCCUCUCAAAUGAAUCAGCUUGCCAGUUUUUGGUGGGCAUCACAGGUGUGAUAACUAUCUACGCUUGUGGUUUUCCACCAGGGUAACCUUCAGCAGUGGAGGUUCACUGGAGCUUACAAAUGUCUCUCCUCUGUGAGGACAGCCCUUUGAAUGUUUGAUCUCAAAUCAGGUAGGACUACCCGCUGAACUUAAGCAUAUCAAUAAGCGGAGGA